rnacentral:lncRNA from 1 species
GUCAAGUAUCACAACAUAUGCAAUAUAGUAAUCAAAGUACAACAACCAUUGCAUUAAUAGUAAUAGUUUUACAUAGUUUACAUUUCAUAGAAACAUCGAAGUAAUACAAGUAAUAAUAAAGGUGCAGCUUGGUACAAAACUGUCUUCACCAAAAGCGCCCGAGAUGUACCUGUCUAUUGCAGAUCUGAGAAUACAAGUUAUUUUGAAAGCGAGUAUCAAAAAUUUUAUAAAUGCUAGUGAGUUCAUAAGUAUUUAGUGUCAUUUGUGUAAGUAAGCCUUUUAUUCAAAAUAACUUUAUAAAAAGUAGUAGUUUAGAGUCUACAGUGUAUUAGAGUCCUUUCCAGAAAAUCCUAUAUUUUCUUAAAUAAAAGUAGUCUUCUACCAAGACCCGACAGAGUUAUGUUGUAAAAGUAAUUUUCCCGUAAACACUAUCAUUACCAAAAUACGGUGUUUGAUUUUAAAGAAAGUAGGAGAAUAUCAGGGAAAAUAACAUAUGCCUCAGCAGUGAAGACUGCUGACUAAGGCAAAAGAGAUUAUAGACUCCAGGAGAGCAUAGAAUGAACGACACGCAUGGCUCAGUCUAACAAAAGGAGAUACAGACCCCAGACGGUAUCGAAUGAAUGAUACGUCUAUCAAGGACUAAAACAGAGAGACAGAAACCCCAGACAGUAUCAAUUGAAUGAUACGUCUAGCAAGGUCUAAAAACAGUGAAUACAGACCCCAGACAGUAUCAAAUGAAAGAUACAGCUAGCAAGGUCUAAAACAGUGUAAUUCUAAGAGUGUAUUUCCAGUAUACAAUGUUAAACUUCGUUACCUUAAGGCCAUGAAUUAUAAGGUAACAUGGAAUACUCAUAACCAUACUAAUCGACACUAGAGUACUUGACACCCUGCAAGCGUCCGUGUAAGUAUGACAUUUGUCACCCCUUGGCUUGGUAGGCCUUUGGACUGUAGUUAGCAGUCAGGGUGCGGGGGUGUCAAUCCCGUAUAGAUCUAUACACACAAUGUCCGCUCUCCCUACAAGAGACUCUGGUUACCAACUAGACAACGGAGAAGGCCGUGUCCUAAAGAUGUAUCCUGAACAGUGAAUUCUGAUGUAAGUGUUGGACUAGCAGUAGAGACUCAUAACUGAACCGAUCGAUGUAAACCCAUAUGUCUAUACAUGUAUACAUAACAUAUAAUUAAUGAUCAAAUGACCUUCGGAUGGAUAUCCGAUCCCACCAGACCACAUCUCAACGAAGAAAAGGAAAUAAGGCGAACUAGCCUUCCUAAGUCCUUUAAUCAUUAUUUAUAUAACUAUACAAGUACAGGCAUACAUUUAACGAUAUGGAAGCAUUUAACUAAGUAGAAGCGUUAACAAAGUAGGAGUGUUUCACGAAGUAGAAGCAUUUCUCGAAGUAAAAGUGUUAAUAAAGUAUAAGCAUUUACGAAGUAGUAGCAUUAAUAAAGUAGGAGCGGUUCGUGAAGUAGAAGCGGUAAUAAAGUAGGAGCAUUUACGAAGUAGUAGUAUAAAUAAAGUAGGAGCAGUUCGUGAAGUAGAAGCGGUAAUAAUGUAGGAGCGUUUACGAAGUAGUAGUAUUAACAAAGUAGAAGCAUUUACGAAGUAGUAGUAUUUCUCGAAGUAGAAGCAUUUAGCAAGUAUAAGCGUAUCACGAAGUAAAAGCGUUAACAAAGUAGUAGCAUUUAACUAAGUAGGAGUAUUAACUAAGUAGAAGUAUUAAGAAGCAGCAGUAUCUAACAAAGUAGGAAUAUAAAAACAUGGAAGAAAACCUUGAUGAAAACUUUGGAAAACCUUUAUACUUAAGAAAAUCACGACUUGGAAUUCUUUUGUAAAAUAAGUUUGAAAACCUUUAGAAUUCCUUUGGAAACCUUUCAUAAACGCAUUUUGAUAAAACAAUAUAAGUAAAGAUUUGAACAAGUAAAGUCGUUUUGGAAAAACCAUUUACAGUAUCAUACUUGGCAAAACAGUUGACAGUGUAAUAAAUCCUUGUGCAUGCGGGUUAUCAAUCACAUGUGAUUGAUAUGAUAACUGGCAUGUUUAACUUGUAUUCCCCCCACUAAAACAUGUAAAAACAUUUAAAAGGUUCAUUCAGGGGUAUGAACUCACCUGUUGUAAGUGGAUCCGACGGAGGUGCCGGUUGGGUUCUCGGUGUCAAGUAAAGACUUGAACACACUUAGUGACCUAUUAACAUAUGAUGACAUAUGUUUACAUACAAUUAGUACAUAUAAUACUAAUUAAACAAGUAUACGCAUCCUAAAGUGCGGAAAACACUUUGAUUAAGUGCUAGGGGUGUCCCGGGUAACAUUUAAGGGUGUGUAUGGCUUAGAUAGGGAGUUUACUCUUCAAGAGUAAACUCUUUAUAGAGUUCACGGCCCUGGGACUAACUCCCCAUGAGUUUACGGCCGUAAACUCAUGGUGAGGGUGUUCUAGGAUGCCAAAAGGUCUUAUAUCACUCAAAGAAUUAAGCUAGGUCCAAAUACAAAGUGUAUGAAUGGAUUUAAGGCAUCAAAUGGAUCAUUUGAGGAGUUUACGGCCCUAAAGAAGGAUUUUACGGGCAUAAGCUCCUAUAUGGAUGUUCUUUUUGUGUUUUAGGGUCUUAAAUGGUAGAGAAUAAAAUCCUAUGUAUUUUUCCAAGUCAAAAGAAGAGUUUAGGGCAUCAUAUGGGCAAUUAAUGGGAGUUUACGGCCCAUGGACCAAUUCUAUGGGGGUUUACGGCCGUAAACUCCUAUUUCCUUGGUUUAAUUGAAGUUUAAAUCCUUUACUUCAAUGGGGGUUGCUUCUAGAUAUUUUCCAAGGCCAUAGUAGGUAUUUGAGGGCAUUUCUAACACUUGAAUUCGAGUUUACUCCCCAUGAAGAGGAGUUUACGGCCCAAGCAUGUUCUUGGGUAGUAAACUCAAGUUUAUUCCCCAAAAGUUAAGUUCAAGGUGUUCUAAGUCCGUUCCCAUAAGUCAUUUAGCCAUAUCUAAGCCUUAGGGGUAGUUUAGAGGGGUUUUGGGGCUUAAAAACCCCAUUUAGGGGUGUUCACGGUCCAAGAGUGUUCUUGGGCCGUAAACACAUGAAUUUGACCCUAUUUGAUGUCUCAAACACGAAUUUGCAAAUUAGUUAAGCUAUACAACAAGUUAGGGUAGAUUGCUUACUCCUUUGGGGCUCAAAACGGGCGGUUUUUGGCUCGGAAACAAGUUGUAAAGAAAGAGUGUAGAGAGAGAGAGUGAAAAGGGUGGACAUGAAGUUUACUCUCCCUUAUAUAGGGGCUUGAGUUGAGGCUUAGUGGAAAUCUACCUGAUACUGCCGUUAAAUGGGGCUUUUGGUCGCACCCGAUUUAGUGGUCGUAUUUUGACUUGGUUGAAACUAAAACUUUUCAAGGGAUUAAUGAGGGUGUUUCUAAUUUGUUUCAACCCUUACAAAGUCAUUUAAAAAGUCCCAAAUUAAUUAGCCAGUCCAAAAUUUAACAGACAGUUAAAUAAAACGAGGCUUAUUAACGGAAAAGGGGUUAAAAAUGACAGAGUUGUCACAAUGGGUCUACAAAAUUCUGGGUUUGUAAACUAGGAACCAAAUCUCCGAUUGUGUGGUGUAUGUAUAUGCGUAGGUGAGGAGAAAAUGGGUAAUGGAUGAGUUGGGUUUGGAUUUUUGAAGAAGAUUAAGGUGUUUAAGAAUUUGAGUUGCAGGUUAGAUUUUAAGUUUAAGCUCUUGGUUUUGAUUUGAGGUUAGAAUUAGAUUUCAACAAUUGUGGUCAAAGGGGGGAAGGAGACGGUGGUCAAAGGGUGGUGGUGGUGGCGGACGAUGGUCAAAGGGUGGUGGUUGUGGAAGAUAUUCUUCAGUUCAUGAAUAUGUUCUUCAGUGUUCUUGAGAUUAUGAAGAUGUGCUCUUAAGAUUAUGAAGGUGUUCUUGGGUGUUGGGGGAGAGAGAGAGAGAGAGAGAGAGAGAGAGAGAGAGAGAGUGGUGAGUCCUCUAUUAUUUUUUUAAUUGUUAAAAUAAAUAAAUAAAUAUUAAAUUUUACGAAAAAUGAAAGAAAAAUAAAAAAUAAAUACCCCAAGGGUAUUAUAGUCAUUUCAAUUUUUGAAGGGACUAUUUUCACAUACAAACCACUCCAAAAGGACCACCAAUCCAAAAAAAUCAUGGUUUGGACUAAAACCCCAAAAUUUUACAUACCAUAGGGACCAUUUUUGCAAUUUUGUCAAUAUAAAAACAUGUAAUGUUUUAAACAUGUUAAAUUAUAAUCUUAAUGUUAAUAAAAAAAAUCAAUAGAGUCAUACCUUGAAUAUAUUCAGUCACAAGUCCAAAACUCCAUGUAAUUAACCAAGUUCAAUCAAAUGUAACAUUGUACAGCUCCAUGAAUAACAUUUGAAAAAUAAUAUGUCAAAAAGAAGAUGACAUUUCAUUCGGAGGGUAAUAAUAUUCUUAAGUAACUUACUAUUAUUGGUAUCAUUUUUGAACACUUGGUUAGGAUCUGGUCAGGAUUUGGAUGAGCAACUUGACUUGUAUACCCUGGAAUAAUUUAUCCGAAAUCAUAUCAGGCUAUCAAGGCAACCUUAAUUUUGCACUAACUUGAGAUAUUGAUAUUUACCUCAAACUUGACAUCAGGGUUAGUAGAAAAGUCACCGACUUCACCUGCAAAGUCUAAAAAUAUUGGUAUUUACCUCAAAAGCAGGGCUGGAAAAGUCACAUGCUCAAUCAUCUAAAAAUAAUAAUGAAGUGUUAAAAAAAAUAAGUAUUAAAAACAAAAAAUUAUUUUGUAUAUAUUGGUGCCCUUCAAUGUUUUAAUUUAAACCCAAAACCACAUGCUUGAUUUUUUUCACCAAUAAUAACAUACAUGUGAUUUGUUUAUAUUAAAACUUAUUGUCUUAUUUGCUUUCACCCAAUAUUAUAAAUUCCAAACCCGAAUACAUGUGCAUAUAAAAUAUUCAACAUUCUUCUUCUCUGAGUUUGUGUUUGUAUUUAUUGUCUAGCUUUGACUCACCAUGUGCAGAUAAAGCAUUGUACCUGGAUACAUUCAAGGAUAAAAAGAUGAAAACAACUAAAAACAUAAUAGAUAAUUCGCAUUCUGGAAAGCAUUAUACCUGAGCAACUUUGAUGGACCAUGUCAGAUAAAACAUUGCACAUCUUAACAUCAACUAAAGCUAAUGUUUUAACCAAACCCAUUGAAAUCGUAAUGAAGAUAGAGUGAGAAUAAGAACAUGCCAUGAGUCAUGAACACAAGAGGCUACAACAAUAUUAUGAAAAAACAAUUAAGAAGGUGAAUUUAAGUGAAAGUUUAAGUGAUUUCAUAGUAUCUACCAAACAAAAUACGAAAAUUAGAACCUAGCCGAGUUUAAUCAAGAAAUAAUUUUCUUAAACAUUUCAUCGAGCACAUGGUAGGCUAAAAUCUGUGAAUAUAAGAAUCAAAAUCAAAGGUAGUCUUUAAAAUCAUAAGUUAAAAAAUAUUAAAUAUCAUGCUUAUACAAACAAAGAUUUUUCAAAUUACCUUGGCCUAAUAUAAGAAACAACAGGGAGAAGCAGCGAACCUGAAUAGACAAACAGAGGACGGCGGUAAAGGUGGACUUAUAGAGAGUCGAUCAUACAUUUAAGGGGGAAGAAUACUUGCGUGAAGACGUGAGGGUUUACGUGGGAAGGGAUAGCUAAUGACCCUCUUCUAGGUCGUAGCAGCAACAUUAGGAGGUGGUGGGAACAAAGGUUGUCUAAGACCGAAGAGAGUAAGGAGAGAGACACAAGACAUGCAGUUUGAUGGUGGCCAUAAGGUAUGCGUUUACGCUUGGUUUCUAAGCUUAACAUGAUUAUCAUCUGCAACCACAAAAAAACCAAAUUAAUAUUAAUACACACCAAGAUUCAAAAACAAUGAAAUUGAAUUUAUUUUAAUGGAUUUCAGGUUUCAAACUAAAGAAGAAGACAAUAGGAAAGAAAGAAAGAUUUUCGGUUGUAGCCAACACCACGACCACCGAUAUGAAAUUCCAUGAAUUAAAAUAAGGAAUACAAAAAAAAAACUACCAGUGUCGUCAUUCUCCUCAAACUGUAAACAUAUUUGUCGUCGUUCUCUUGCUAAAGUUUGAAACAAAAUUUGAAAUUAGUCAAUUAGGCAUAAAUAUAUGUACAAAUUGGGGAGAAAUUCAGGGAAAACGAAAUUGGAAGAGAUAAAGAUAACGAAUAUAGGUAGAAUCUGAAACGGAAGAAUAAUAUUAUCAUUGGAUAAAUUAAAAAAAAAUGAUAUUCAAAUUAGUUCAUACUAUAAAAAAAAUCAAGAAGACAGAUGCAUUUACUUUGUUACCUUUGUUUCUAGCAAGCAUCAUUGUUUCAUGAAGCUAUAGAGGGUGGACUUUAAUUAGGGCAUAAGGAAUAUACAUGUAAAGGAGGAGGAAGGCAUCCAGAGAGGGGAAGAGCAAAAGGGGUAUAUCCUGAAUGGAUCCAGAGAUGUAGGUGGUGGCGGUGAAAUGUAGGGUUUAUGGAGAACAGGAGAGCAGGGUGGUGAGAUGCAACAUAUAGGGGAAGGAGGAGAGGAUGAUCCAAGGCGUUGCCCAAUUCAAUAAGUCAGAGGUGUUAUAUAACUUUAAUCUAACAGAUUCAUUUGAUUUUGACCGAUUCAAAAAGGCUGAAAUUGUGAAUCUUGGUUUAACUUGUUGACUGAUUAACCUGAUGGGAUAAGAUCUGAUUGCAUAAACUUGUUGUGAAU